ensembl:lncRNA TTC28-AS1 TTC28 antisense RNA 1
GAGCGUGCGGCUUCUACUGCGGCUGCGCAAGCUCGACGCGCGCACUCUUGUCUGCUUACGAGGGCUCCUCCCUUCAGCUUUGGUCCCUCGGGGCGUCUGGGCAGCCUACGCUUUCCGCAUGACCCAUCUGCCUGGCACCAGCACCUGGGGCUGCCAGGCAGCCACCCCUGCAGCUGUGUUGACAGGACCUGGCAGAGGGACUGACCCACCUUUGGAAAAUGACACCAGCAAUAUCAGGAUGUGUCAACUGGAUUUAUGCUAAGAAAAUAGGAUUUUUGGUGUUCCUCUGUUUCCCAAAGUUUGAGACACUUUCAGACACUCUGCUUUGCGGUUGUGGCCGAUGUUACCCAUGGGUGGGACUUUUGCUUUGCUCUAGAUUUUUGUAACACCCUGGGGAGUUUCAGGGGCCAAUGCUGAGAGAAGACCACAGGCUGACACAUCAUGAGGUAUGUUGGUAAAACAGUCCCGGCUGGCCGAGAGGCCACUGAGGGAACAGGCCCAGGGUUUGGUUUGUACUCUGUGAGUCUUGGCCUGGCAGGGUUUCCUGCAAAGCAGAGUCCUCUGAGUGGGACCCCAGGGGAAGCAGGUUGUUGCCUGGAGCUGAGGGGCAGCUCUGUAUUCAGGAGGGGUGCCUGCCUUCCCAUCUCCCCUGUGACCAGAUGUCACAGAAACAUUCUCUCUUUACUCCCUAGACCCUCUGGGCAGGUCCACUAAGAGCAUGUAUUCUAGAACAUGCAGGGCUUGAAGCUUCACAAGAUAUUCAGUGCACUCCUUACAGAUCCUGUCAAAUGUGGACCGGGUGGUGUCAUCGCACCACCAUCAUCCCCUUGUUACCCCUGAGAACACAGCUUCAGAGAGGGUAAGUAACCUAUCUCAGGCCACACAGCCAGGACAUGGAGUAGAUCCAUCCUAAGUCUUUCUACCACACACUCCUUUCUACAGUCAUGGGUUAAAUGAGGGUGCCAUGGAAUGGGUCAUCCAGUGUACACUGACAUCAGGAGGAGUUUCACAUUCAUACACUCAUGGCAAAUGGUUCUGUUGCUCCCUGGUCCAAAGAUGAUCUUAAUAGUAGGAAAAACUCAUUUGGCAGAAGCAAGACUCAGCACACAGGCUCUCUCCCUGAGUCUUCUGUGGCUGGCCUUGCCCUGCCCUCCCCUCCCCAACCCCACUGGCAGAAUAAAGUCGGGGGGCUGUGAGGACUGAGCCCCAGGCCUUGACAGGCACCCGCAGCCAGCCGAACUCCCACCUGCCCAGUUGGAGGGGUGCGAGAAGGCCUUGCUGCUCUGCACCACCUUCAUGGCCUCCCCCAGGGCGGCGCUGGCUUUCAGGCCGUUCAGCAGGGAUGAGUAGAAGGCAUGGAUGAACAUCUUAGAAGCAGCCACUGGCACAGGCCACAGAGACACGAGGACACACUGAGCGCCGGCAGCCAGGAAGGCCCUUGUCAGCGCGAUGACCCCGUCGGCUGUGACUUUGCUGUUGGACUCCUGGGAGGAGCCAAGCACCACCAGCUUCACAGGCAGCUGCAGGUCCAGGACGUCGGCGGCAGUGCCUAACUUACUGAGAAUCAUGCCUGCUGUGAUGAGCCCUUGGAAACCAUCAGGACUGGAUGGUAGGGGUCCUGAGAGGAUUGGGGGAGGAGGCCUUGAUAUGACAGAGUGGACAGAGGCCGUGGAACCCAGGACAGCCAGCCUGCUCCACAAUCCUCAUCCCCACAGACCUUCAUGUGUGGCUCCUAAAUAAGAGGAAACCCACUCCUGAUAAGUCAGGGGCUUUGAAAAGUGAUUUUGUUUAAAUGGUGCAAACAAGCAAGCCAAUCUUGGGGAGACAGGGCUAAACUUAAGUCCUUUAAGAAGCUCUACAUACUGACAAGAUUCUAGUUCCCUUCCACCUUAUAUGCUGCAAAGUAAAAAGUAUCACUGAAUGAGAAAAUCAGCAUAAAGAAGCCCAAUAAUGUCUGCCUGAGUUUCCCCUAUGAUGACUUUUGGUACUUUUUGGGAAACAUUAAGUAUGAAGUUAUUUCAAAAUAAUUUUUUGGUGCCUCUGCUUGGUGAUGCCUUAAACUCUGGGUAAGAGAAACACCAGGUGCCUGUCAGGAGAUGGCCUUUUCCAGGUUUCUGGUUAAGCUACAAACAGCUAACUGGCUGCUGUCAUCAAAAUAAAAGCUUUCUGAAGGUGGAGGCAUCUGAUACCCAGAGUGCUGCUAUCAGCCGGCACGGUGGGCCGCUGGGUGGCAGGAGCGUCGAGAAGGCCAGCUCGCUUCCUAUCUGGGAUUCAGAAUCAGCUAUGGAAACUUGAGAGACCUAGAGAAAAUAACUUCUUUCACUUUGAACUGAUUCUUUGCUUCAUAAGAAAAGUAUUAUCCAGCCACAAAAAUGGUCAAAAUUCAGAUCUACAAAAGCCUGUCAGGCAGAAACUGACCCCACUUAGGCCACGCCAAUGAGCAAGUCAUCAAAGCAGCCAAGACAGGUCCUGUGGGGGCCACCCAUGCACAGGGCCCAGCCUCGGGUCCUAACCCCGCCUAUGCUUUCCGCCACCAUAAAGAGGCCCAUCUGGGUAAGACCUGUCCCGCCUGCUGUGGGGUAUUAGGGCAGAUGGGGUCUGAGGGGUCUGAGGGCUCUGAGAGCAGCUGGCAGCUCAAGGACAUCCGGAGUUGGAGGAUGGAGCAAUGCAGGCCCUUGUGGUAAAGACAGUCCUGCAGCCGCGCAGGCAGGGAUGCUGCAAGUGGAGUGCCAGGCGGGUGCGGAGCCCUGUGGGACUGUGGAGGGGUCAGAGGGAAGCCAGGAUUUUGGGGUCUCUGAGAGUUUGGAGAAGGGGAAGAAGAUUAAAGCUUGUUUCAAAAGUUUCUAAUCAGGUGGGCAGGGCCAAGGGUGGCUGUGGGGUGAGACCCAUGACUCAGGGUGGCCCACUGUUACUCUAUUGAUUUUUGGGCGUUUUUUUCCAAAUUGAUUAUUCUUGCUGAAUGAGACCUGAGUCCUUGACUGUCCCCUUAAAGCCACCUGACUUGUUUUCAGUUCCACUGGCCUGUCGGGCUGUUUUCUACUCAACUCCACUCUUGCUUGUCUGCCCUCCCUGCCUGGGGCCCAGCCAGCAGUCAGCUCAAGGGCCAGAUGAAUUGGGUGGCUGUGCUCUGCCCACUGGGCAUCGUGUGGAUGGUGGGUGACCAGCCCCCUCAGGUGCUCAGCCAGGCCUCAAGCCUUGCUGUGUACCUCAGAGCAGCUCCGUACCCUGAUGUCACAGCAAAGAAACUUAGACAUGACACAAACUGUGGCUUCCCAAGGCAGCAAAGAAUGGCCAGGGGUCAUGAGGGCCGUGCCCCACUUUUGGACAGACCUACUCUAAAGUCACGCUACCUGCGUGCAAAUCAUAAAAUCAACACUUUUGAGGAGAUCACAGCUAUGCCUUCGUAACACAGCCCAGUCCGACCAGAUAGACGGUGCCUCGUGACCCGAAAACAAGCCCCCGGCCCCCCACCAUGUGUGUGAGCCUUACCUUGGACUGCACGCUGAGGGAGCGGAUGGAAGGGACAGCAAGGAGGCCGAAGCGCUCGUAGAGGUACUCAUUGGAGGAGCUUCCCUUCAGGAGGGCGAAAGGAAUGAGGUAGAGCUCCCCCUCCAGAACCAGGAUGAGCUGCCGGUGCCGGCCCACGGGGCCGCUGGAGUGCAUCAGGCCCUAUGGAGCAAGCACGGAGAGGCUGACAUGGGUGGCCCAGCAGGCAGGGGUUUCAGGCACCAGGACAACCCUGAGCCCUAGCCUGGAUGACACAAGCACGAGCAGGUGAGGCCUGUGGGGGUGUGGGGCGCCAUGGGGCAUGGGCCGAGUUGCAGCCCUGCAGGAGCGGCACCAACUGGCAUGCUCGCUUGUGGACUGGCAAGGGCUGGCCUGGCAGCAUCCAUCUGCCUCACAGUCCUGAGAAGGUUAGAGGACAGUUUCUUGAAGUUCACAAGAACCUGAAGUGGGUUGGAGACCGGUCUGUACCGCACAGGCACCCUGAGAAGGGGUGGGAAUGGCCCCUCUCAAAACAAGAUCUGUUUUCCAUUUCAAUGGACAAGAGGCUAGAAAAUCACAGUGAGGACGGGAGGUCUGGGGGCUGGCAUGACAGCCCCUGUAGAAGGGGAUGGGCUGGGUUCUAGGAUCUUCCGUGACCUCCUCUGAGAAAGAGUGGCCCCUUGGCUCUGGGCUUGGGAGGUGCCGUCCCCACUUGUUCCCUCUGGGGAUGUCAGGGGACCCAAUGCAUGGAUGACUCCCAUCCCUCUUGAAAGGCCGAGCAUGAGGACUCGAGGCAGGGUGUGCACAGGGCCACAGCGGACACAGCCUCAUUCCUGUUCAUUGCAGAACAAGGCUAAGGGCGCGGGCAUCUUAAUGAGAGCAGCAGGCAACAAUCCUGGAAGCUGGGUCCACACAGACUGCGGUGAACAAAGAGGUGGCGUGGAAGCUGCUGCUGCAGCCCAGAGCCUGCCAAGAAGGUCCCAGGUCCACAGGGCCUGCGCAACACUGGGUGCCAGGGGUGGGGCUGGCCUGCCCCCCAACCCCAUCUGCUGAGGAGUGGCUGACAAGCGGACACCCACCAGGGUGCCACUCGCUUGUGCCUGGGGAAGCAAAUGUGCUCGCUUGACCCGUCUGAUGUGCUGCCGUGGGCACUUGACUGAGAGUGGCAGAGCACUAGGCUAACCCAAAGUGACACAUGCCUGGCGGGAUGUUCAGUCU